UACGGGGGGAGCAAGCGUUGUUCGGAUUUACUGGGCGUAAAGGGCGCGUAGGCGGUCAGCACAAGUCAGUUGUGAAAUCUCCGGGCUUAACCCGGAAAGGUCAACUGAUACUGUGCGACUAGAGUGCGGAAGGGGCAACUGGAAUUCUCGGUGUAGCGGUGAAAUGCGCAGAUAUCAGGAGGAACACCGGUGGCGAAGGCGGGUCUCUGGGCCGAUACUGACGCUGAGGAGCGAAAGCGUGAGGAGCGAACAGG
rnacentral:rRNA from 1 species